GGAACUAACACGAGUCGAGUUCCCGACGCCCACCUGAUCAUACAGUACAGAGUCGACAGAGAAUCGUGCUGAAACUAAACGUGCGUCGACUAUCGUCUCGCCAUGACAAAAGUAAAACUUGCUCCAUUAUUUCUGGCUGAGAUUACGCAAUUACUGACAAGAAAUCACAACGAAAAUUCCAGGUAGAGCGUCCAAGUGUAUACAUUUUAUCAGAAAUACAAGAGUCUCGUAUCAUAUACGCUCCGGCUUACGUUUUACAAGAUAAGCACACAAGAAUAUACAAAGUCGUUCAAACGUUCGCGUAUUCCACCGGAAUACUCACUCAUUCUUAUCGUAAGUAG